GAUGAACGCUAGCUACAGGCUUAACACAUGCAAGUCGAGGGGCAUCAGGAAGAAAGCUUGCUUUCUUUGCUGGCGACCGGCGCACGGGUGAGUAACACGUAUCCAACCUGCCCUUUACUCGGGGAUAGCCUUUCGAAAGAAAGAUUAAUACCCGAUAGCAUAAUGAUUCCGCAUGGUUUCAUUAUUAAAGGAUUCCGGUAAAGGAUGGGGAUGCGUUCCAUUAGGUAGUAGGCGGGGUAACGGCCCACCUAGCCGACGAUGGAUAGGGGUUCUGAGAGGAAGGUCCCCCACAUUGGAACUGAGACACGGUCCAAACUCCUACGGGAGGCAGCAGUGAGGAAUAUUGGUCAAUGGGCGAGAGCCUGAACCAGCCAAGUAGCGUGAAGGAUGAAGGUCCUACGGAUUGUAAACUUCUUUUAUACGGGAAUAAAGUAUCCUACGUGUAGGAUUUUGUAUGUACCGUAUGAAUAAGCAUCGGCUAACUCCGUG
rnacentral:rRNA from 1 species